CUGUUACACCGAGUGCAUCGUUGGUGACAUUUCUAAUGACACUGCAUGGAUACGAUUGUAUUCAUCAUGGUAUAAGGAUUUCUCUAAAUCUCUAGGAUUACUAAUCCAAGCGUUACCGGAACGCUGGAGAAAUGAGAUGCAGUCAUCCUGAAAGCACGAGGCGUGGUGACAAAUCAUUGGACAAUCCGAUUUCAAAUCAGCCAGUAGGAACGUACAUUUUAGCUGUAACCAUGUCGACACGAGUUAUCAACCAAUAGCGGCCCGAAUCAAAAUGGCGGGGCAAGCCACCGCAUGAAAUAUCUGUGGAGUGGAAGAGAGCUCGGGACUAUGGUGGAUACGACACCUCGGCCGAAAGAGGGAGCCGUGACGACGGAAAAACCUCAUGUUCCCGCCAACGUACUUUGGAUACCUUACUUUCUCAUUGCUUUCAUAUUUAUAAGUUUUUUGAUUGCGUCAUUCCUGCACUAUCACUAUCGAAAACGAGGCAAAUGCCGGGACUGGGAUUUGUUGUCUGUGUUUAAACCCAAGGAGGAGGGUGGCUCUGACGCUUGCGGGUGUUUAGGGGCGAACAGGGGGUAUACUGCGACGAGACCGCGGAACAAUGGUCCGCAAAUGAAUGUGUCCACACUCCCUGUCAGACCGACAAUCUCAAUCUCGAUGGCUCAUUCCGGAUUCUCGAACCGCCAGGAUGGCAACAACCGAGGGAACCAACAUGGCCGCGGCUACAUGUCGGUACCGAGCUUACAAAAACAAAAACCUGGCAGCAGUGGUGGGCGCGGCGGUGGUGCGGCGGGGGGAAAGUCAUAUGAUGCCUUUGGACAAUACCUCUCCUGACCUGCUCGCCGCACCAAGAUUUUUCCAACGCACCAUUCGAAUAUGUUUCCUAUUUUGGGGGCAUGGGAGUAGCUUUGGAAAUAUUAACCAAUCAUUCAGGGGGAUUUUUGAUGACAUCAGGAAGUUGAGAGAUUAUUUUUGGAACGACGAGAUGGCGGCAGUUAGUGAUAUAAAAGAUGUGGCAUGAUUCAUUUAAAACUGAAGUCGUGGACCAGGGCGACAUCCAUGGAGGAAAAAGGAACAGUGCAAGAUGUGAUGUAAUUCGUGUAUAGGAAAAUUUAUAUUUUUAUAGGACUAGCUGGGGAGAAGACGAACUGAGAGAUUACAUUGUUGAUGAUUUUAUGUUGCUUGAACGUUGUUUUGAAUGGUUAAAAUUGUGUUUCUGUCGCUUGACAUGAAGAACUUGAUCCAAACCUAUGAAACUCACUGAUUGAAGAUUCAGGUUGCCCGUCACCUGACUGAUAUCAGGACAGACUUGAAGCAGUUUGGCCACUAUUACUCAUUUUUUAUGUUGUACACAUGCGCAUCUCCCUGCACACGCGUAGGGAUAUUUGAAAAAGAUCCCAAAAAACAUCGUGCACAAAGGCCAUUUUGAUGCAGGCUUUUGAAUCAAUGAUAUGGUUUAGAAGGUGAUUUGAAAGAACUCCUGCUUUAGAUUUGCUAAUAUCAAAAUCCCGGCACUAUAUUGAACUACAACAGAUGUGACUAGGUUGUCACAAUGUCAUACCUGAAAUUGAUACUCAGAUUUUUGACGCGAGGCUUUGGGAGUGCAAUGACAACAAUGUUUAACAAUGAUAUUCAAACUCUGUCAUAAAUAAAUAACUCCAUAAAUGGACCGCUUUCGACAGGUGUGGCGCUGGGUAUUUCGCAUUUACAAGUAUUUUGGUAAGCUCUAAUCCCUGAUAGCUUUAGAUUUCAAUCAAAUGACAAUGGGGUGGUCCGUUUGUCGGGUUAUUUAUUUCAUGAUUAACUCUUAAAUCUUAGUCAGACAUGUUAGAUUUUCACCCACCAAAGCCGAUUUCAAAGAUGGUCGAAGACAAGCCGAAGAUAAUCCGAAAACCAUGAAUGUGUCAUCCUGAGAUUAAGGUUUUUGAUACUCCAAUUGAGAGGUGGAGUAGGCCUAGGCCUAUUUAUUGAAAACUCGCACUGGUGCCAGGAUGCGAAUGUGUGCGCAGUACGUGUACAUCGGGUACGGCUAUAUUCUAUUAAAGCUAUAGGUGUACAGCAUGUAUGCUGCUAUAUAACAUGUAAGUUAGACCAAGAAUUAUCAAAGUCAGUCUUUGUUAUUAAUUCUUGGUUGAACUGUGCGGCCCGAAUAGGUUCUAGGUCAGGGAGUUGGGAUACUUUCCAGUACGUAGUGAUUGGCUUUUUUAUCUGAUGCGAAACUGACCCUAAUAUUAUUGCUAAACCAAAGUAGACAUGCAUGAUUGUUUUGCCCUGGUGCUGUUACAGUGUAACCUCCCUUAGCGGACACCUCUCUAUUAAGGACAGCACUUGUCAGUCCCGAUGGUGUCCUUAAUAGAGAGGUUCUACUGUAUAUAAUGUUCUGUUGUCGUGUAUACUUUUUGUUAGACCAUUAAAAUCCAAAACGAAUAAUUGGAACAAUUAUUGCAAAAAAGUCACCAAUAUAUAUAUGGGUUUUUUCCUGAAAACAAUGAAAAGGUAAAAUGAUAAAAUGAGCGGGUAACGACGAAUUUCCUUUCCCUCUCGACACAAUGGAUGAUAUGAAUAAAGAUAGCAAAUGCUUUUAUCUAAAUCUCCAUGUACAUUUACACUUGGCCUUCCUGUACAAAACCGGAGUAAAAGCAUUUGCUAGUCUUUAUUCAUAUCACCCAUUAUACUUCGCUCACCGAGGCGAAAUCUGUCAGGACAACAUGGAACUAAACGCCUAAAGACUGGUUGUGAUUGUCGCUGCUUUCUCUUUCAUUUGGGGUAGAAGAUAUCCGGGUUUCGCUAUUAACAUCUCUAAGCUAUUGGCGGUUACGGCCUCUAUAGAACCGCAUACAUUUUGUAACAUAAUUCGUCAGAUUUUAAUAGGGCCGGACACUUGCUCCAAGGGGACAUUUUCUCCUUCUACAUGUGGUCAACUACAUGUAUUGCAUGUUCUGUUUUUGUUAACUUCGAUAUUGUGCAAUGAGCAGGCGUGUUCCCCAAAGGUCUUCGAGUGGGCUGGACAGGGGCGGAAACCAGUACAAUACUCCAGACUUUUGUCUCUACGAGGUUUUCAUGAACAGGAAAAUUACUUCUAUUUAAUCAUUGUAAUCAGUUAGAGUUUGAUGUGAAAUAAUAUAGAAAAACAAUUCUGUGACAUAAAUAUUGUCUUUGUACAUGUAUAAUCAUAACCUCUAAGCCUUAGCAUAUACUUUUGUGUACAUGAACAUAAGUCGUUAUAAAUCGUUAUGUCUAUUAUUGUCUAAUUGUGAUAACUUUGUUGUUAAAGAAUAAAUUGACGAUUUGUAAUUA